AUAUUAUCAUAUUUGCUACUAACAAUUAUUAAAACAUGGCUAUAUAUGUUUAAGCAGUGUGCACCCCAGAGGGCUAUGAUGAUGUCGCUUAUGGGCAGGAUGUAGGAGGUGUAGCAGGUGAUGGAGACUAUGGAGACAUUGUGGAGGUGGCAAAGGGGCCUGAGGCAAAUGGAUAGAUCAUCUAACAGAGACUG